UUAGAUGUAAAAACAAUACAGUAUUAAUCAUUUAGAUCGGCGGUUUUCAAAGUGUGAGGCGCGCCUCCCCUAGGGGGCGCCAGAGCACUUUAGGGGAGGCGCGGUGCGAGGGAAAAAAUAAACCGGAAAAGAAGCUAUCUGCUUGCUGUCUACUGAUGUGAGAGAAAGAAUGGACAAAUUUUUAGUAAAGAAAAAGGCAGGGGAGACAAGCUCUUGCGUAAGUAGAAAAAAGAGGAAGUAUGACCACGACUACUUAAAGUUUGGAUUUUCCUGGACUGCUCCCGAUGAUGCUCCAAGGCUGUAAUGUGUAAUCUGCAAGGAGGUUCUGGCUAAUGAUAGCAUGAGACCCUGUAAGCUCCGGCGUCACAUUGAAACAAAGCACCCAAGUUUAGUGACCAAGCCGCGGGAGUUUUUUGAGAGGAAGUUGAAGGAGCUGUGCACACAGAAAAAAACAAAUGAAAAAAAAAAAGACAGGCAUUGUGCUCCUUGGAGGGGGGCUCACCCUUUCAUACUUUGAAAACCCCUGA